CCCCCCAACCGCCCAAGUUCAGUCAAACACUCUUAACUCACGUUGAUUUUCAGCCCACACACAACUCACACACACUAACACCUAAAACACACACACCAUUCACGCAUAUACCAUUUUUAGCUUGAGCUCAAGCUUUUGAGCUCCGAUUUGAGCACCGAGAUGAACGCCGAUCAUCUUUUCGAUCACGUAUCUAAGUAGGUCCUUUUGGGAAGUAACGACUUGAGGGAGAGAGUGACGUUACUCAUUGAUACAGAGACACAACGAGGUUGAGCUGAUGUGAUGAUGGUGCUGCAAUGAGCGGAGUCUCCAGGGUUGUUAAUAAAUAGUUAACCUGUCUAGAAUAUGUCUUCAUACAUAUGUCUAGCUACUUUCCGCUGCAAGAUGUUGUUGAUGUUAUAGUAUGUUAUGUCAUACUUUGAGUCUUAAGAGAAUGGUUUCAUACGAUGUAUAACUUGAUUAAUGAUAUUAAUUAAGUUUUAUGCUGUCUUUCAUAGACUGUUUUCAAUUGAGUAUUAAUGAAUAAAAAUGACGAGUUUUAUUAA